rnacentral:rRNA from 1 species
UUGGAGGGCAGUCUGGUGCCAGCAGCCGCGGUAAUUCCAGCUCCAAUAGCGUAUAUUAAAGUUGUUGCAGUUAAAAAGCUCGUAGUUGAAUUUCGGGAUCAAUUUAUUGUCGUGCCAACGGUACGCACUGUACAAUUGUUUCUCCCUUCUGACGAAGCAUGAUGUCAUUAAUUUGAUGUCGUGGGGAAUCAGGACUGUUACUUUGAAAAAAUUAGAGUGUUUAAAGCAGGCUUUGGCUUGAAUACAUUAGCAUGGAAUAAUGAAAUAGGACGUUUGAUCUUAUUUCGUUGGUUUCUAAGAUCGACGUAAUGAUUAAUAGGGAUAGUUGGGGGCAUUAGUAUUCAAUUGUCAGAGGUGAAAUUCUUGGAUUUAUUGAAGACUAACUACUGCGAAAGCAUUUGCCAAGGAUGUUUUCAUUAAUCAAGAACGAAAGUUAGGGGAUCGAAGACGAUCAGAUACCGUCGUAGUCUUAACCAUAAACUAUGCCGACUAGGGAUCGGAUGAUGUUAAUUUUUUAAUGACUCAUUCGGCGCCUUACGGGAAAC